UACGUAGGUGGCUAGCGUUGUCCGGAUUUACUGGGCGUAAAGAGCGCGCAGGCGGUCGUUCAAGUCGAGUGUGAAAGCCCCCGGCUCAACUGGGGAGGGUCACUCGAUACUGAUCGACUCGAAGGCAGGAGAGGGAAGCGGAAUUCCCGGUGUAGUGGUGAAAUGCGUAGAUAUCGGGAAGAACACCAAUGGCGAAGGCGCCUUUCUGGUCCGUUGCUGACGCUGAGGCGCGAAAGCCAGGGGAGCGAACGGG
rnacentral:rRNA from 1 species